CCCUUAGAUGUUCUGGGCCGCACGCGUGCUACACUGAGUGGAUCAGCGGGUCAGGUUGCGCGAAAGCGUUUCCUAAUCUUUAAAUCCGCUCGUGAUGGGGAUUGACGGUUGCAAUUUUCUGUCAUGAACGAGGAAUACCUUGUAAGCGCGGGUCAUCAUCCCGCGCUGAAUACGUCCCUGCCCUUUGUACACACCGCCCGUCGCACCUACCGAUUGAAUGGUCCGGUGAAAUCUUCGGACCGUGACUUUGAUUUGUUUACUCAAAACGCUGUUACGGGAAGUUGAUUAAACCUUACCAUUUAGAGGAAGGUGAAGUCGUAACA
rnacentral:rRNA from 1 species